GUAUAUGCUAUAUCCUGUCGCUGCUAGAUCUGUCUGGAUUUGAAGAUGAGUUUUGUAAUCUAUACAUAGAGGAAUGAAUGAUUGUAGUUGGUACAGGGUGCUUCUUGUGCAUUUGUUGACUGAAGCUAUAGCAACUAAGGAUUUACACAGCCAAUGUCAACUUUCUUUUAGCAGCUUUCCUUUAGAAGUAUAAUUACUAUUUUAAUUAUUAUAUUCUAACUUGUUGUAAGGACAACUCAUCAUAAGAAUAAUGUAUGAUCAUUAAAUAUGAAAAUUUAGGAUUAUAUUAUUAUCCAGUUACAUUUUUUUUUAUUAAAAAUCAACACAAUUUUUAUUCUCCAUUUGAAAUAUGAAUAUAAAUAUGA
rnacentral:lncRNA from 1 species